UGGGUUGUGGUUCAGUGGUAGAGAACUCACCUGGCAUGUGUGAGGCUCUAGGUUUGAGCCUUAGCACCACAU
rnacentral:tRNA from 1 species